UCUCCUCAAACCCUAAUAUGGAAAGAAAAAGCCAGACUCCCAUCCCGCCGUCGUACACCCAUUUCGCGUCAGGAUUUUGGUAUUCCUCAUCUCACGGGCUUCUCAAUGAACCGAUUGGAUUUCUGUUUCAAGCUAUCUCGCCGUCGACCACUACUUCUCCUUCUCCGACAACCGACGUAUGAAAAUGGUUUGAUGUGGAAUUUGUUGAUUUGAGUUUGAAUGGUAUGUAUCCAGCAAUUUGUCGCUUCGCCGAUAUCUGCAAGAGUUAAAUUGAUGAAAAGAAAAUUCAAAUUACAUGGUAUGGAUUUUAUGGUGAUAUUAUGACAUAGAGCGAGAAGUAUCGCUGGAUGGGUCCGAAACGUUAUGAUUAUGCUAGAACAAUGGUGUUUUAAGGCACAGUAUUGUCCAAGGGGAUAUGACAUAGUGCCUUGAUACUUUCAACUCUAAAUAUCUUUUGGACUUGCAUUUUUAUUCUUAAACCAACAAGUAUAUAUGUGUGAUGCUGUUUUAAAACGGUAUAGUUCCCGCAGUUGAAGAAAGUUUAUUGUUGUAACACUACAGGAAGGCAUGUUCAACAAUCCAUUUAUGUCGGGCGUUAUCUAAAGGUUUGGUUAUUGUUUAUGUUAAUAGAGGAUGGAAUGUUAAGGUUUCUUCUGUUGGGCAAGACAGACAAGGAGUGGAUAAUCAUGCCAAUAGUCUUUCUUCCAAAAUCUGCAAUAUAUUAGUUUUAGUACUUACUGGUACGGUGAAAAACACGGUAACAAAAUUGACUGUGCUCCCUACUUUCUGCUGAAAAAGAAAAUCUCAAUCUUAAUUUUUUUUUUCACUUUGAUCUUAAAAAACACGACUUACAAAGAUAUGAGAACCAUAUUUUGCAUUGGACUCUUCAUCUAUUACCUCUUUCAAAUGAGUUCUUAUAAUUCUUGCCGUGUGUUCUUAUCUUUUGUAUUGGUUCAGUUUGUUCAGGUUAGUAUUCGCUGAUAAGCUGACUGGUGCAGGGUGUAAUUGUGUCGUUCAAACAAGAGAUGCAUUUAGCAUUUAAGCCAACGAGAGGUUAGUAUAUUUCAAUGGCGUAAGUAUUAAUUAUUGACAAGCAUUUUGUUUAGUAUCAGAUUGUGGUGGUGUCAUAAGUAUCCUUCUCUUAAGUUUUAGAGGACUUAUGCCUUAACUAGCUUUUUAAAAAUAGUAUCUUUGUUGUUGACUGCCUAAUGCCAAUUUUUUUGGUACAAAACAUUCUGCAAUACUAUUGGUACGACUAAAAGGUUCAAGGCUAAUCGUUUCGGCUGGUAUUAUGAACUUUGUCUAAACUGUAACAAGAUUAACAAAUCGUCAGCUCCCCUUUCAAUGCAAUUGCUCCGAUACUAAAUCAGUCUCAAUCGCCAAGUAACCAUUUCUAUAUUGCUUACUGUUAUAUUAUGCAUUCAUAUUUAUACUUGGAAUCUAACAACCUAUCCAUUACAUUUAUAUUAGGUAUAAAAUAGAUAUAGAGGUUGAGCAUGAAAACAAAAAUUUUGUUUUCUUUGUUGGUUUGUAAGCUCAUGAUUCAACACUUACAAAAUUAAUUGUGAAUUAAGUCGACACAACCAUGUAUGCAACACGACCAUGUAUGCAACAGAAGUAAAAAGAUCAUUUAUUGCAGCAGCGUCAUUGCGAGUCUUUUUCUUAUUUUCAUUUUAUUAUUUAUUUUGAAA